rnacentral:lncRNA from 1 species
GUGUGACCUUUUAAUUCCAGUGUUAAGUUCUUUAUUGCAAGCGUUCUUGUUUUUCAGUUUAAUUUCUAAUGUUACACAGCUCUGCUUUUAGUUUUUACAAAACAAAUGAAUUCAAAUCUACUCGAAAUACAUCUUCAAACACCUCUGCUGCAUAAAAAGGCGCAAGAUUAAGAAAAUAAUCCACCAGCCCGUAUGCUGCAGUUCCCAGGCUCCGUGACAGUGGGUUUUUCUCCACACACAUCUUCAUCUGUGGCCCUGGGUGUUUAUGGAGUGGAAAGUGCAGGCCUGCUCUCAAAGUGAAUUGAAGUCUUCGUGUCCUGUGCACCUGAAUAAAAGGAUGUGAAGUUUCAGACUGAUGACCGCUUGGACAGUGUUCAUCUCCUGUCGGUCACUUGCAAUUCGUUUGAAAUGAGACUCUUGUUUGGCCUAUAAGCUUCACCACCCCUUAGCCCUGCACAAAAGCACAGAACUGGGAGGCAAAGGAAGUGAAGAGAGAAAGGCCACCUUCAGUCUAUGUGUGCAUGAAUCGUAGAGAUCCAUUAAAUCUAUUUCACCGGCUUUCCUUGGUACUCCAUACAUAAGCACCCAGCCUAAAUUCCCCCCAUAGUGACUCAGUGAAAGGGAGCCGGGAUGAAUAGCACACUUUAUUGGAGCAUGCCAUGAGUGGUCAAACAGCAGUGGCGGGCCCAUUCUUCGCCCCUUCAGGCCAUUAUUAAAAAGGGCUUUACGGAGCCUUGUAAAAGUGUUCUCUCCUCAGGGGGCCUGCAUAAUAAAAAUCGAAGUCAAAUUAAAGCCCCGCGGAGCAAAGAACUGUGGGUGG